GCCGUAUCUCAGUGACAAAGCAUCUGCUUUGCAUGCAGAAGUUCCCAAGUUCAAUCCCUGGUGUCUCCU